rnacentral:rRNA from 1 species
AGAGUUUGAUCCUGGCUCAGAUUGAACGCUGGCGGCAGGCCUAACACAUGCAAGUCGAACGGUAACAGGAUUAGCUUGCUAAUCGCUGACGAGUGGCGGACGGGUGAGUAAUGCUUGGGAACUUGCCUUUGGGAGGGGGAUAACAGUUGGAAACGACUGCUAAUACCGCAUAACGUCUACGGACCAAAGGGGGCUUAGGCUCCUACCUGAAGAGAGGCCCAAGUGAGAUUAGCUAGUUGGUAAGGUAACGGCUUACCAAGGCAACGAUCUCUAGCUGUUCUGAGAGGAAGAUCAGCCACACUGGGACUGAGACACGGCCCAGACUCCUACGGGAGGCAGCAGUGGGGAAUAUUGCACAAUGGGGGAAACCCUGAUGCAGCCAUGCCGCGUGUGUGAAGAAGGCCUUCGGGUUGUAAAGCACUUUCAGUUGUGAGGAAAGGUUGGUAGUUAAUACCUGCCAGCUGUGACGUUAACAACAGAAGAAGCACCGGCUAACUCCGUGCCAGCAGCCGCGGUAAUACGGAGGGUGCGAGCGUUAAUCGGAAUUACUGGGCGUAAAGCGCACGCAGGCGGUUUGUUAAGCUAGAUGUGAAAGCCCCGGGCUCAACCUGGGAUGGUCAUUUAGAACUGGCAGACUAGAGUCUUGGAGAGGGGAGUGGAAUUCCAGGUGUAGCGGUGAAAUGCGUAGAUAUCUGGAGGAACAUCAGUGGCGAAGGCGGCUCCCUGGCCAAAGACUGACGCUCAUGUGCGAAAGUGUGGGUAGCGAACAGGAUUAGAUACCCUGGUAGUCCACACCGUAAACGCUGUCUACUAGCUGUUUGUGGAUUUAAUCUGUGAGUAGCGAAGCUAACGCGCUAAGUAGACCGCCUGGGGAGUACGGCCGCAAGGUUAAAACUCAAAUGAAUUGACGGGGGCCCGCACAAGCGGUGGAGCAUGUGGUUUAAUUCGAUGCAA